rnacentral:misc_RNA from 1 species
CCUUUUCCGCCCUAUGCCCUCGCGGGUUGUGGGGUGGACGUCAGGCAAGCCUCGUGUUCCCGGCACGCUUCGCCCAGUUGCGUGGCUGCCUCGGCCCACGAGGUGCACUGCCCGUGCUCUCGGAUGCGGAACGUUAUGCGUGGGCGUGGGGUCUGUUGGCUCCGUUCGCCCGAACAACGCACUUGUCCAUCGACGCGAACGACCGUCGCUCCCGUCUCGAGCCCGCGGCCGUCCGGCCCGUCGGGUCUCGUGCGUGCGUCGA